rnacentral:piRNA from 1 species
UGGAUUGUACAAAGAGUCAAACCAAAUGUGU